UACGUAGGGGGCAAGCGUUGUCCGGAUUCAUUGGGCGUAAAGAGCUCGUAGGCGGUUCAGUAAGUCGGGUGUGAAAGCUCCGAGCUCAACUCGGAGAGGCCACCCGAUACUGCUGUGACUUGAGUCCAGUAGAGGAGCGUGGAAUUCCUGGUGUAGCGGUGAAGUGCGCAGAUAUCAGGAGGAACACCAGCAGCGAAGGCGGCGCUCUGGGCUGGAACUGACGCUGAGGAGCGAAAGCGUGGGUAGCAAACAGG
rnacentral:rRNA from 1 species